rnacentral:rRNA from 1 species
UGAACGUAAGUUUGACUAAGCUAUGCUACUCUAGGGUUGGUAAAUUUCGUGCCAGCCACCGCGGUCAUACGAUUAACCCAAACUAAUAAACACCCGGCGUAAAGCGUGAUUAGAAUAUUAAACAAGAAUAAAAUCAAAUAGCAACUAAGCUGUAAAAAGUAACAGUUGCAAACAAAAAUAAACAACGAAAGUGAUUUUAUAACCUUCGAACUCACGAUAGCUAAGAUCCAAACUGGGAUUAGAUACCCCACUAUGCUUAGCCUUAAACCUAAAUAAUUUCCUAACAAAAUUAUUCGCCAGAGAACUACAAGCCAGAGCUUAAAACUCAAAGGACU